rnacentral:rRNA from 1 species
UUUUUUUAUGGAGAGUUUGAUCCUGGCUCAGGACGAACGCUGGCGGCGUGCUUAACACAUGCAAGUCGAACGGAAAGGCCUAGCUUGCUAGGUACUCGAGUGGCGAACGGGUGAGUAACACGUGGGU